GUACGUGAAACCGCAUGCAGGUAAACGGGUGGCGUCAAGCUGCAAGCAUGGAGGAUUCAGCCGGCUAGGAUGUUGUGUAUGCGCCUGGCGCAUCCAUCAGUCAGAGUAUGAUUGGAUAGUCCACUGGUAAACGGUGGGCCCGGCCGCAAGGUUGGGAUGUGUGUACCGGGUGUGUGCCGGAGCACGCUAUCCGUCUAUGGACUGUCUAGCCGGUGCACUUUCUCUGUGCUGACACCACGACCGGUGGAAUUGCCAGUCUGCUGUGUCCAAGUCGUACUCGGUCGGUCCUUGUGGCCAACUGGGUGCGAUCACAGGCAAACUCAGUAUACGGCGUAGAGGGGCUUCGGCACUUUUGCGUGUUAUCGGCUACUGGUUGUCAACGGGCUGCCUAGUGUUUGUUGUAACCGGCACUUGGGCGGCCUGGUGGGACAUGGUGGUAAGAAUAACUGUGCAAGGCACCGGGUUUAUCGGCCUCAAAUGCACUCCGCGCCCACGUUACAAGUGGUGUAUGGCGGUGCUGUUGCUGCCUGCUCGUGGCUGGGUCUGAUUGUCGUGUCGCCUGCGCAAAGUGGGCCCGGCAGUGGCUCGACCCGAGAUGGGUAGUGGAUGGUGCUGUCUGUGUGGAGUGUGGUGGGCCUAAUAGUCAGUGGUGUAGUGGUAGACGAGCUACCCGACCCGUCUUGAAACACGGA
rnacentral:rRNA from 1 species